UUUCUUCUGUCUUUGUUCCGGGGUUCCUCGUCUCUUCGCGUCAGAUCUUGAUCUGAGAUUUGGUUGUUGCCGACUCCGGGCUCCAGAUCCGUAUGGAUCCGAUCGAGGUCCACCCGCCGAUGGUGGUUUGUGACGCGUUUGAGAUGCAUACAAAACUUCUUGCCUCGAAUCUUCCGUUUCGAGGUGUGGUCUCCUCGUUCUUGUUUUCGGCAUCUAUUCUGUAGAAAUUAGCUGGAUCUUGCCUUUGUCAAGGCUCUCGAGGUGUUAAUUCUGCAGGUAUGGUGGAAGAUCGAACAAAAUAACGUGGAUCGCUGGAAGUCUAGUUUUCUUCGCCAUCCGGAUCACGAGGAUUGCUUCAGUGAUGGAUGAUUGGAUGCGCUAUAGCUGAUUGCCCUUGAGGGUUUCAGUGCUGUCUUCCUGUAGAUUCUACUGUUGCAGAUCUCGGAUAUUUGUAAAUCUAGUUAUUGCUCUGAGGGUAUGCAUGGAUGUAUAAGAUUUCGGGAUGAAGGGCCCCGAGACGGUGGGCUCUGAGUCCCGAGUAAUCUUUGUCAUCCGACCUUUGCCAUGACAGGUGCGCUUGCAUGGCAGGUCAAGAAUAUCUUAAUAAAAAAAGUAUUUUUUGGUUUCGGGGGAGAUCGCACGGGAGUUGCCCGGGGUCUCCCUCCGGUGUGGUGUGUGCCUCCGUUUUCAUUCUGCGUUUAUUAUCGCUCAUGAUUGCUCGCCCGCUAAAUCCAUCUGGUCGCGAAGGACACACGACAGCAGAUUUGCCUUGACUCUUCAAAUCAAAUAAGGUAUCAUCUAUCGUUAUAAUCUCUUACAUAUCAUUCAAAGGGUAAUUUUUUCUUGUGAACAAUCUAUUUAUUGAGCUAAUAUCAUCCCAAAAAAGAAAAAGCAUAAACAAAAGUGGCUCCCUCCAGCAAGAGUCGGUCCCGAGUCGGUCCCCUUUGAAUUUUUAAUACUGUCGUUAAUUUACUCCGACCAUGGUGAUGGUGAUAUUAAUUUGGAUUAUUGGAAAUAUUCUUAUUGGCAGAAUGCUUUCUGGAGUUCGUCGAUAAUAUGAUCGAAAGGUAAUUGGGCUUCGGUUUUCUUACCUUAAAAAAAAUUAUUCAGAUCAAUUCUUCUAAAUUUUGAUGGUCAAAAUUUUACCGGGAAGUCUUUUUCUAAAUUCACAAAUUCAGUAAAUAAUUGAACACUGAAACAGUAUAGUUUUCAAAAUGAAUGAAUGGUAUUUUUCUGAAUCCUGCUUUGCAUUCUAAGCUGCUCCGUGUGCUUUGUGAUGGUAUCCCACGAAUGAUAAGUUACAAUAUCCAUAACUCUCGGCAGUACUGAUCCAAUUUUGUCAUGGCCUGCUGUACUGUUAUCGAUGAUUGCUUUUUUUUUUUUUUUCCUUUUUUCGUUUCUCUCUUUUAGUUUGGAGGUUUUAUUAUGGUGAGAGGUUUUUAAUAUUCUGGAGAUAUAAGAGGGGCUUAAGUGUUGUGGUUUGUGAGAGAAAUAUUCCCUUUGUUGUUAUCUAAUCAUUUCGGGGUGUUCCGUUAUUGUCGAGUUUUUGCUUUUGCUACUGUAAAUUGAAUGAUGUACUUGCCCGUUAUUGGGGCCAGGAGGAUCCCAGUGAAGAAGAGCAGGAAUGUUAACGAGACUUUCUGGAGCCUCUAGUUGUAUUGUUUUGUGUUGUAAAGUCCUGUUACCAAAUGUGAUUUAGGCUAUUAUGUUAUGUCAGUGGUCGAGGUUCGUUAAGCUGUGUUGAGUUGUCCUUUGUAUAUUGGUAAUUAUAAAUGUUCAGAUUCUGUUGCUGUCUUUUGGAAAUUUCAUGUGGAACGUUUGGGGGGCGACGCUCUAUGGACUCCUCCCCCCCCCCC